rnacentral:rRNA from 1 species
GUCAGCGGCGAUGGCACGUUGAAUGUACCAGUUUCCAAUGGAUCACUGAAGAGUACCGUUGCUGGUGGUUGGUAUCCGGAUGGCUGACCAUCUGGGCUAUCGCGUACUGCUGGCU